UACGGAGGGGGCUAGCGUUGUUCGGAAUUACUGGGCGUAAAGCGCACGUAGGCGGACCAGAAAGUUGGGGGUGAAAUCCCGGGGCUCAACCUCGGAACUGCCUUCAAAACUAUUGGUCUUGAGUUCGAGAGAGGUGAGUGGAAUUCCGAGUGUAGAGGUGAAAUUCGUAGAUAUUCGGAGGAACACCAGUGGCGAAGGCGGCUCACUGGCUCGAUACUGACGCUGAGGUGCGAAAGCGUGGGGAGCAAACAGG
rnacentral:rRNA from 4 species